rnacentral:misc_RNA from 1 species
UACAUUGCCUCCGAGGUGUGUGAGG